rnacentral:rRNA from 1 species
UACAGAGGGGGCAAGCGUUGUUCGGAAUUACUGGGCGUAAAGGGCGCGUAGGCGGCCUUCUAAGUCGAACGUGAAAUCCCCGGGCUCAACCCGGGAACUGCAUCCGAUACUGGAUGGCUUGAAUUCGGGAGAGGGAUGCAGAAUUCCAGGUGUAGCGGUGAAAUGCGUAGAUAUCUGGAGGAAUACCGGUGGCGAAGGCGGCAUCCUGGACCGAGAUUGACGCUGAUGAGCGAAAGCUAGGGGAGCAAACGGG